GGCGGACGGGUGAGUAACGCGUGGGAAUCUACCUGGUAGCGGGGGAUAACUCGGGGAAACUCGAGCUAAUACCGCAUACGCCCUACGGGGGAAAGGAGGGGAUCUUCGGACCUUUCACUAUCAGAUGAGCCCGCGUUAGAUUAGCUUGUUGGUGAGGUAAUGGCUCACCAAGGCGACGAUCUAUAGCUGGUCUGAGAGGAUGAUCAGCCACACUGGGACUGAGACACGGCCCAGACUCCUACGGGAGGCAGCAGUGGGGAAUAUUGCGCAAUGGGCGAAAGCCUGACGCAGCCAUGCCGCGUGUGUGAAGAAGGCCUUCGGGUUGUAAAGCACUUUCAAUAGGGAGGAAAACUUGUAGGUUAAUACCCUGCAAGCCUGACGUUACCUAUAGAAGAAGCACCGGCUAACUCCGUGCCAGCAGCCGCGGUAAUACGGAGGGUGCGAGCGUUAAUCGGAAUUACUGGGCGUAAAGCGCGCGUAGGCGGCUUCGUCAGUCAGAUGUGAAAGCCCCGGGCUCAACCUGGGAACUGCAUUUGAUACUGCGGAGCUAGAGUAUGGUAGAGGAUAGUGGAAUUCCAGGUGUAGC
rnacentral:rRNA from 2 species